rnacentral:rRNA from 1 species
UACAGAGGGUGCAAGCGUUAAUCGGAAUUACUGGGCGUAAAGCGCGCGUAGGUGGUUUGUUAAGUUGGAUGUGAAAUCCCCGGGCUCAACCUGGGAACUGCAUUCAAAACUGACAAGCUAGAGUAUGGUAGAGGGUGGUGGAAUUUCCUGUGUAGCGGUGAAAUGCGUAGAUAUAGGAAGGAACACCAGUGGCGAAGGCGAAUCCCUGGAAAAUACCUGACACUGAGGCACGAAAGCUAGGGGAGCAAACAGG